rnacentral:rRNA from 1 species
GCUCAGAAACUUAAAGGAAUUGACGGGGCCCGCACAAGCGGAGGAGCAUGUGGUUUAAUUCGAUGAUACGCGAGGAACCUUACCUGGGCUCGAACGUAAGAUGACUGUAGGUGAAAGCUUACAUCUCUUCGGAGCAUUUUACGAGGUGCUGCAUGGUUGUCGUCAGCUCGUGCCGUGAGGUGUCGGGUUAAGUCCCAUAACGAGCGCAACCCCUACCUUUAGUUGCCAUCAGGUAAUGCUGGGGACUCUAAAGGAACUGCCUACGCAAGUAGUGAGGAAGCGGGGAUGACGUCAAAUCAGCACGGCCCUUACGUCCAGGGCUACACACGUGCUACAAUGGCCGAUACAGAGGGCAGCUACCUGGUGACAGGAUGCAAAUCUCCAAAGUCGGUCUCAGUUCGGAUCGGAGUCUGCAACCCGACUCCGUGAAGUUGGAUUCGCUAGUAAUCGCGCAUCAGCCAUGGCGCGGUGAAUACGUUCCCGGGCCUU